rnacentral:misc_RNA from 1 species
AAUUCUCAACCUUACAACUUUUUGUGAGUGGUAAGGCUUGGAUGUGAGGGUUAUUGCUGGCUUCCUUCAGUGCGAUGGUCAGCUCCCUUUAAAUGUAUUAGUGGAAUUCUUGUGAAUCGUUCACUGAGUGUGAUAAUUAUCUACGCUCUAGAUUUGCAAAGUCUGCUUAUAACCGUCCUUCAGCUGGACAAUUUCUUGACAAU